AGCUGCUAAAAUAAGGAGUACAGUUUGGGAUCUUGAUCCUUCCAGUGCGCCUAGCCCUGACGGUUUCCCUGGAGUCUUCUAUACCACUUGCUGGGAUUUAGUUGAUUUGAAAGGUGUCAGAAGUAUAAAAACUUUCCUGGAGUUGUAUCAAGCCUUUUCGGGGUAGCACAUCAAUCUCAAAAACACAAAAUAUUCCUGAGCUCCAUCCCAGCGGAUUGCAAGUGCAGGAUAAAAGAAAUUCUUAACAUUCCGAUCUACGACUUCCCAACGCGAUACCUAGGCGUUGAUAUUUUUAAAGGUCGAGUUAGGAAGGAAAGGAUUUUUCCUUUGGUUGAUAAUUUCAAAGCCUGGUUUGUUGGAUGGAAAGGAAGACUCCUUUAGCUGGCAGGGAGAGUGGUGCUGGUAAAGACUAUUAUGAGUGGCAUUCCUUUGCACAAUUUAUUUGUUUACCUUUGGCCUGCCUCGUCUAUUGCUCAAAUGGAACGAUGGACCAGGAACUUUAUCUGGACUGGGGAUGCAGAUAGCUCUAAAUCAAUUACAGUAAAGUGGGACGAGGUUUGCAAGCCAAAAGAUGAAGGGUGUUUUGGCAUUCGCCGAUUAAGGGAUGUCAACCUGGCAUUGAUUGCAAAGCUCUGCCAGUAUAUUCACUCUGAUUCCUCGGAAUUUGCUUUGUUCCUUAGAGGAAGAUUUAUGAUAAGCAAAGGCAGCCUAAAGAGGUAUUCUCUUUCCUCAUCUAUUAUUUCUGGUCUUAGAAAGGUUUGGGAGUUUGUUUCUGACUCUGAAAGGUGGAUUGUUAGAGAUGGAUCCAACAUCAAAUUAUGGUAUGACCGUUGGGCUGGUGCUACUCCUCUGUUGGACAAUAUUAAUCCUCUUCAACCUAUUGUUGGCAGCCCCUCAUCGCUAGUCUCUGAAUUUUUAGUAGAUGGUAAUUGGAAUAUUCCUGUGCUUCAAUCUUCAAUCUAUGCUUUCUCUUGAAUCCUGUGAUCAUGUUGCAAAGAUUCCUAUUCCAUUUGUGGAUGUGCCUGACAGUCGAAUAUGGUCCUUAACAGAAUCAGGUAAGUUUUUUAUCUCUUCAACUUGGGAAAAGCUAAGAAACAAAAAUCCAGUAAAUGGUUGGUGGCGCAUGGUUUGGCAGAAAAAAACUUUAUCCAAGAUUCUCUAUUUUUGGAUGGCGCCUAGCGCAAAGAUGUCUUCCAACAGAUGAUUUGAUCUCCAUCAAAGCUGUCCCUCUUGUCUCUAGGUGUAGCCUUUGUGGUAAUCAUGGGGAAAGUUUCAAGCAUAUUUUCUUGGAGUGUGAGUUCUCUGUGAAUAUUUGGAUCUCUCUGAGCUAUUUUGAUCAGAGAUGAAGUGGUUUUCCUUCAAUUGAAAACCUUUUCUCUUGGUGGAAGAGAAAAUCAGUAGCUGUGCACUGUAAUAUGUUGUGGCUUCCUCUGGUCAUUUUGUUCCAUUCCACAUAUGGGCAGAGAGAAAUUGAAGAAGAUUUGAUUAGAUUUCCAUGACUGAAUCUCAGAUUCAUAAAUUAAUUUUGUAAGACCUCAGUGAUUUCUCAACGGUUCACCUAGUGCAAGUUAAAUCAAUUGUAGAUCUUCUCUUGACAAAAAAGCUGAACAUAUCCACCUUCCUGCCUCGUGCUAGGAGUAUUCAGGAAUUAUGUUGGGCGGCCCUAUCUAAUGGAUUUUUCAAGCUCAACAUCGAUGGAUGUUCCCUUGGGAAUCCAGGUCGUUCAGAAGCCGGUGGUAUUAUCAGGGAUGGGAAUGGAUCCAACAGGAUCUGCUUUGCUAUAUAUAAGGGUGUUGGCUCCAAUUUCAUGGCUGAAUUUGCAUCCUUUUUUCAUGGUCUGAAAUGUGCGGUUGGGAGAGGCUACAAUAAAUUAUGGAUUGAGUGUGACUCCCAACCAAUAGUGACCUGUAUAAUAAAUCACAAAAUCCCUUGGUGUUUUCAGCAACAAUGGAGAUUCUUCAGGCGUUACCUAGACAAUUCGGAAUGGGUGAUAACUCAAUGCUACAGAGAGAUAAAUUUAGCUGCUGAUAAACUGGCAAAACAUGCUGCUACAAGUUGUUCCUCAAACACAUGGCAAGUUGCUCCGAACUUUAUUAUUUCUGAUCUACCAUGGGAUUGCCAUAAUAGGCCUAGAUUCAGAUUCAUGUAAUCUUUUGAUUUCAGUUUGCUUUGUUUUCUUUCUCUGCUGAUGGCAAUGCCGAAGGUGGAGUUAGUUCUCAAAGAGUUCUUUUUGUAUCAUUCUCAUUUUUUUAUAUAGUAAUACACUUUUUCUAACCAUUAGCAAAAAAAAUCAUUAGAGUUCAC